AUUGAACGCUGGCGGCAUGCCUAACACAUGCAAGUCGAACGGCAGCACAGCAGAGCUUGCUCUGUGGGUGGCGAGUGGCGGACGGGUGAGGAACACAUAGGAAUCUACCCUCUUGUGGGGGAUAACGUAGGGAAACUUACGCUAAUACCGCAUAAGACGGCGACGUGAAAGUGGGGGACGCAAGGCCUCACGCGAGAGGAUGAGCCUAUGUCCGAUCAGCUAGUUGGCGGGGUAAAGGCCCACCAAGGCGACGAUCGGUAGCUGGUCUGAGAGGAUGAUCAGCCACACUGGAACUGAGACACGGUCCAGACUCCUACGGGAGGCAGCAGUGGGGAAUAUUGGACAAUGGGCGCAAGCCUGAUCCAGCAAUGCCGCGUGUGUGAAGAAGGCCUUCGGGUUGUAAAGCACUUUUGUACGGGAAGAAAACCCAUUCAUUAAUACUGGGUGGGAAUGACGGUACCGUAAGAAUAAGCACCGGCUAACUUCGUGCCAGCAGCCGCGGUAAUACGAAGGGUGCAAGCGUUAAUCGGAAUUACUGGGCGUAAAGCGUGCGUAGGCGGUUUGUUAAGUCCGAUGUGAAAGCCCUGGGCUCAACCUGGGAAUGGCAUGGGAAACUGGCAAGC
rnacentral:rRNA from 1 species